CAACACGAGGGCGCAACACCAUAUAUCAUAUCCUUCCAGCUCUGGGUGAUGUCGUGGUCAUAUAGCCUACUGCAACAUGGCAAUAACAUCAACGUGUCUCUUUCCAGAAUGGAUAUUUCAGGGAUUGACGCUGGUGUGUGCACACGAGGUUGCUUGGACCGGAGAACAUGAAAUGUAUCCGAGAUUUCCAUUAGGCUGUGGGGAUAGCUUAACCUGGCACAAGUGCUCCUCUGUUGCCUCUUAGUUAUUUUUGAAGACAUUUCCACAUUAUGUCAAAAGAAAAUGCAGCAAUUCGUCCCAAAGGAUAAUCUUACUAAAUAUGGGAUUCGUGCAAUACCAGCGCAACUGAUCAAAAAAAGAGGGGCGGUGGUUGAGUGAUGAGCAGAGAACUUCAACUUCGCACGCAGCGACGUUCUCUCCGACAGUCUUCUGCGCGAAGUCAUCUUGCCGGACAAGACAAGGGAUGCAGAUACCAACGCGUUUUGUGUCUGAGUUGAACAUGUCUGUUAACAUUGGACAUAAAGCGGGAACAAUGAGUCAGAUCUCCACCCUGAGAGCUUGGUCGUGGACGUGUGGUUGAUUGGCAAUGGGAGUGAAAUAGCUUCAUUCCUGGUUUAUUUGCGGGUCCGACAACAGUCAUUGACUCACGGCGAGGAGGAGUGGGAGCUUUUCCUUACCUCAUCAUUACUUAAAAUGUGAAAUGAGCAAGCAAGGUGCGGCGUCGGCUGGUAAAGUACAGUGAAACGCUGUGAUGCUAACCUGUGUUUACUCCGUAUGGGCUCCUGAAGAGAUUCUUAUGUGUUUACUGUAUGCACCUGCCCACCAAAGUCAAUUGCUUGUUGUGUAAACUACUCGGCGAUUAAAACGUCUUCUGAUUCGGAAAAAAGAAACCCUUUUUAAACGUCUUAAACUGUAAUUUACCAUGUGUUACUGAAAUUGACCAAGCGUUACUGUAUAUCUACUUAAUAUUGCAACACUACGUAUCACCUUAUAUUUUCCCUUAUCUAACAUGCAACUGGCACCGUUUUUUCUUUUAUGACUUAGGACAAAUUAAAAACGACUACAUUGGAAAUAGAUGAAUUGGACUUCCCCGAGAGGCUGAUAAUUGCUGCUGUGAGUUAACCCUCAGAAUGCCUGCCUCAUAUUUAGAACGAUGGACACAAGUGGUAGGACAAGCAGGAGCUAGGUGAAGCUCGCCUGUCCUCUUCUCCCAUCCUCAUUUCUCAUGCAGCUUCCUGGUAUGUGGGUCACACCAUGAAUUUGUGUGCGCGUGUGUGUCUCCGCUCCUGUGUGUGUGUCUCCGCUCCUGUGUGUGUGUGUGAGUGAGUGUGCGUGUGAGAGAUAAGAGACACUGUAUUUCAGAGUGACCCGCUGGCCUGCUCGCUCCCAUCAACAGUGAGCCCCCAACCCUGGGUCCAGGCAGGGAGGCAGGAUGUUUUGGAUGGGGGGGCUUUAGGCCCAGGCAUUCUCAGUAUCUGUCACCCAACUCCCAUAGAUCACCGACGCACAGGACGGGAAGUGUGUGCGAGGACGCGCGCGCGCGCGUGUGACUCUGUUUCCUCCAAGCAGGUUACUGCUACUCCAGUAACACACAUUUACCCACAUUUCAAGCGUUACGUUUUGCCUCUGCUGUGCAUGAUCGCGUAUCACGCAAUUUCAAUGUAAGGAAUCCCACGGUUUUGGAUGACAAAUCCCAUCGAUGUUAUGACUAGUUUGGCUUGGUUAUGGUUUCCAAGCGUCCGUCAAAUAGAUCCAAUGUCACCGCCAGAACUGCACUAGACCAUUAUAUCUCUCCAACAUCAGCUGCCAAAGAAAGCGUAUUUAGCUUGUCUUGUAGCUUUGUUUUGUUCUCUCCCGCUCUACUCUACAUUUGGCUAGGGUUCCUGGUAGCUGGAGGUGAAAACAAAACUCCUCUCCACUUAGAUUUUUCACUCUCCAUUGAAUGUGUAAUGGUUGAUGAAUUAGCGAGGCUUGUACACCGGGGCCUGGGUAUGCAGGUCCUCACAGACUGAAGUUGCAGGUCAGAAAGCAUCAUUACUGGAGACCCAUUCCUAUAGGCUCGGAUGAUGUCGAGGAAAUAUUAAAAAAAUGGGGAUCAGAGUGUUCCGGCCAUAACCUCCAUUCAUCCCUCUUCCCCUUUCUUACAUGCUUCUCUUUUGCCUCCAUCACCACCUCCAUUUUGCCCCCCAUCCCCCCUCCUCUUCUUAUGUUUUGACAUAUGUUCCAUGAGCCGUCCACAGAGGCAGUCCCCAGGAUUUGCGUUGUGUGUGUGUGAAGGGCCCAUCGGAGCUGAGGGCAGCCCUUCUAGAGACCAGAGCGACAGUCCAGCUGUCCCACCCAGGGCCUCAGCUUACAGUCAGUGUGAGUUACAACCCUCGCCUGCCACGCACACACACACACACAGCCUGGGCGCAUAUACAUACCUAGGUAUACGUAUGUUUCCAUAGGCAUGAUUACACCUACACACACACUCAGAUAACACGUUCACAUUCAUAAAUAUACGCACACACUUACCAGGGCUAUAAGGCCCCAGUCUGUGUGGACCACCUCAAUCACAGCUCACAUUAUCAAACACGGGGUUGAUGUAAAUCUCUCUCUCAAAAGCAAGGUAUUUCCUUUCACACAGUCGCACACACAAGCAUAUAAACACAACAACAAGCACACAGAGAAAAGUGUUUGCGCGCAAAACACACAACUGCACACGCCCCAAGCACACACUUUAAUCCCUGCAUGACAAUCGCGUGCAUGUUCGCCUGACGGUACAUAUUUACCUCCCCAGAUCAAUGCAGCUGAUCUGUCUGACCUUGCCCCUCCGUUCACUCUUCACAUGUGUGUGUGUGUGUCUGUGUGUGUGUGUGUGUGUGUCUGUGUGUGUGUGAGUUUACCUGUGAGAGACAGAGAGGGAAUGUCCAUCUGUCCCAAGUAUGUUUGUCGGUCAGUUAUGGGUACGAAAGAAUGGGUGUGUGGGUGGAGAUCCAUGUGUGCCAUAUUCAUACUAUGAGCGUUAACAAUGACUGGAAUGCUUCCUGGGUCCACGGGAGAGCAGAGAGAGAGAGAGAGAGCAGAGAGAGGGAGAGAGAGCAGAGAGAGAGAGCAGAGAGAGACAGAGAGGGAGAGGCGUGGGUGUGUAGUAAUGGUUCCUUGGCCAUGAGAGAACAUCCUGCAGUACUAAAACCUCCUGACCCAGACCAUACACACCCACACACAGGGACCUAGCGCCUCUCCCUAAGUCCAGAGCAUGUCUUAACACUAAACACACACACACACAGACCCGCACAUUCUUCUGGCUGACGUGAAGAUGCACAAACACAGACACCCCUGUUGUCCUGUGGCCAUGCCAUGAGACGACACAUGACACAGAUCCGGUGCCAAAGCUCGACCUCUUUACCAGACAAAAGCUGCACACAGAUGAGGGAGACACGCCGCCCGGACCACAGUCAUGAGGUCUACGUCUCCUUCACCAUCCAGAGUCUCGUGGGUAAAAAAAAAAGAGAGAGAGAGAGAGAGGGAGGGGUAGGCCAGAAACACAUGGGAUGAACUGAAGAUCCCAGCUUUUAUGCGGGUUAAUCAAAACAAGUUAGCCCUCUGUGCCCCUCGAGAGGAGUCAGAGAGACCGAGUGGGUUCAGGAAGUUGUGACUGGUUCUCCGGUUCCAACUGCCGCUCUUAAAACGUUGUUACGAUUCGUGUCGUUUGCUGUAACCAGAGGAUUGAAGAGUCACGGUUGCCAGUAAGAACGUCAUGCCCCUGCUCUGAGAUAACCUCCAGAAAACACAGGCCUUCACCCCUUUGUACGUUCCGAACCUGACUGAGAUUUAUCGAAAUGUACAUAGCCUUCUUAAAUGUUCCUCAAUAGGAGUUAGAAUUGAUUAAGGCCCGGCCUGUACCAGGAAUUCUCCUCUUCUCUAAGGCUUAGCUUAUGGGCUGUGUCCAGAACCUUCUGGCUCAACAGAAGCCACAACGAAUAGUUAGGAUUGGGGGGGGGGGAAUCCAGUCGAGGACAAGCGGUCGCUCUCGUCGGGCCGAUCACAAGGUAGCGUCAUUGGGAGAACAAGCCCCCCCCCCCCCCCCCCCCCCCCAGGCCAGCUGGCGAAGCCUUUCAAUGAGAUGAGCGUUGAUCACAAACGCUCACGCCGCUAGCGUUCGAACAGGGGAGAGGAUGUGGGUUAGCGAGUUCACCGACCAAGAUAUGAAACGCUUUGUUUUGUUUUUCUUUAUAUCUGGAUGAAAUGCAGUCUUUAAAUUGAAAUCAAAGCCGCGUGUGGGCUCCACGACGAUGGAUUCUUGAUUCUACGAUGGACUACGAUAAUUCUUGAAUGUAACAUACUCCUCGGAGUCAUGAAAUGAGUCAAUAAAACUGUGAUUGUC